rnacentral:rRNA from 1 species
UAGGGAAUCUUCCACAAUGGACGCGAGUCUGAUGGAGCAACGCCGCGUGAGUGAAGAAGGUCUUCGGAUCGUAAAACUCUGUUGUUAGAGAAGAACACGACGUGAGAGUAACUGUUCAUUCGAUGACGGUAUCUAACCAGCAAGUCACGGCUAACUACGUGCCAG